UACAGAGGUCCCAAGCGUUGUUCGGAUUCACUGGGCGUAAAGGGUGCGUAGGCGGUCGGGUAAGUCUGGCGUGAAAGCCCCGGGCUCAGCCCGGGAAGUGCGCUCGAAACUGCGCGGCUCGAGUGCCGGAGGGGAGAGUGGAAUUCCUGGUGUAGCGGUGAAAUGCGUAGAUAUCAGGAGGAAUACCGGUGGCGAAAGCGACUCUCUGGACGGCAACUGACGCUGAGGCACGAAAGCGUGGGGAGCAAACAGG
rnacentral:rRNA from 1 species